GGGUUGUGAGGUUAAGCGACUAAGCGUACACGGUGGAUGCCCUGGCAGUCAGAGGCGAUGAAGGACGUGCUAAUCUGCGAAAAGCGUCGGUAAGGUGAUAUGAACCGUUAUAACCGGCGAUGUCCGAAUGGGGAAACCCAGUGCAAUUCGUUGCACUAUCGUUAACUGAAUACAUAGGUUAACGAGGCGAACCGGGGGAACUGAAACAUCUAAGUACCCCGAGGAAAAGAAAUCAACCGAGAUUCCCCCAGUAGCGGCGAGCGAACGGGGAGCAGCCCAGAGUCUGAAUCAGCUUGUGUGUUAGUGGAACGGUCUGGAAAGUCCGACGGUACAGGGUGAUAGUCCCGUACACCAAAAUGCACAGGCUGUGAACUCGAAGAGUAGGGCGGGACACGUGGUAUCCUGUCUGAAUAUGGGGGGACCAUCCUCCAAGGCUAAAUACUCCUGACUGACCGAUAGUGAACCAGUACCGUGAGGGAAAGGCGAAAAGAACCCCGGCGAGGGGAGUGAAAAAGAACCUGAAACCGUGUACGUACAAGCAGUGGGAGCACCUUCGGGUGUGACUGCGUACCUUUUGUAUAAUGGGUCAGCGACUUAUAUUCUGUAGCAAGGUUAACCGUAUAGGGGAGCCGCAGGGAAACCGAGUCUUAACUGGGCGUUAAGUUGCAGGGUAUAGACCCGAAACCCGGUGAUCUAGCCAUGGGCAGGUUGAAGGUUGGGUAACACUAACUGGAGGACCGAACCGACUAAUGUUGAAAAAUUAGCGGAUGACUUGUGGCUGGGGGUGAAAGGCCAAUCAAACCGGGAGAUAGCUGGUUCUCCCCGAAAGCUAUUUAGGUAGCGCCUCGUGAACUCAUCUUCG
rnacentral:rRNA from 1 species